rnacentral:lncRNA from 1 species
AUAGCCAGAUAGGAAUUACAAGAAUCUUUUACCAAAUAACCUCCUAAACUUCAACUUUUUAUUGUUCAGGAAAUUUGUGAGCAGAAAAGGAACAUUAAGCUAUUUCUCUUUCAAGGCAUAAUUAAGCCCUCACCGGGGUAGGGGCAGAAAAGCCACAUAUAUCUUUAGGGUUUCAUAGUUUGAAGAAGGGCUUUUUUAAUCCAUAUUUCCUCUUUCUCGGCAAAGUCAGAGUGCAGAGUGUAUGAGGCACCACAUGUCUGUGUGACUGUUGGUAUGGAAGGAUUCCUUUGAGAAGAGUGAGAGCUGGUGCUAGAAGGAUGUUCUGUAAAUGUGGAAGAACCCAUGAUGGAGAGAGGACUCCAAGAUGGAGGAGAUUUCUCAUGAAGAUUUAUGUUGAACUUGUCCUGCCCAUGCAACUAAACAGUGGACCUACUUUGAUGACCUCUGAAUCAUCUCGAAGAUAUUCUGGAGAACAAAAGUGCAUGAAGCAAUGCCCAGCUCAUCGGUUUAUAGAUCCGCUCUCUUUUAGCUGAAUCCCUGUUCUAAGAAGGUGCAACUUCCAGGCCUUGGAUAUCUGUUACUCAUCACUCAGAGAGA